rnacentral:rRNA from 1 species
UACGAAGGGGGCUAGCGUUGUUCGGAAUUACUGGGCGUAAAGCGCGCGCAGGCGGUUCUCCAAGUCAGUGGUGAAAGCCCGGAGCUCAACUCCGGAACUGCCAUUGAAACUGUUGAACUUGAGGACGAGAGCGGUGAGUGGAAUUCCCAGUGUAGAGGUGAAAUUCGUAGAUAUUGGGAAGAACACCGGUGGCGAAGGCGGCUCACUGGCUCGUAUCUGACGCUCAGGCGCGAUAGCGUGGGGAUCAAACAGG